rnacentral:rRNA from 1 species
UACGGAGGGUGCGAGCGUUGUCCGGAAUUAUUGGGCGUAAAGGGCGCGUAGGUGGCGCGGCAAGCGUGCGGUGAAAGCUCGGGGCUCAACCCCGAGUCGGCCGUGCGAACUGCUGUGCUUGAGCACUGUAGAGGCAGGCGGAAUUCCGGGUGUAGCGGUGGAAUGCGUAGAGAUCCGGAAGAACACCGGUGGCGAAAGCGGCCUGCUGGGCAGUGGCUGACACUGAGGCGCGACAGCGUGGGGAGCAAACAGG